GCUCGUCCUCCCAGGGUAAGUCGGGACCUAAGCCGAGGCCGAGAGGCGUAGGCGAUGGAUAACAGGUUGAGAUUCCUGUACCAGUUAACUGCGUUUGACGAUGGAGGGACGCAGGAGGCUAAGCAAACCUCACGAUUGGAAGAGUGGGGCCAAGCAGUAAGUCAGGAUGUGAGUCAAAUGCUUACAUCCGGGUUGACAAGCUGUGAUGGGGAGCGAAAUUACAGUAGCGAAGUUGCCGAUGUCACACUGCCGAGAAAAGCUUCUAAGGAGCACGUUAACUGCCC
rnacentral:rRNA from 1 species